rnacentral:rRNA from 1 species
UGUCUAAAAUGUCAUUUUCACUUAAAAAAUAGGAUAAAUUGUCUCUUAAAAUUUCUUGACAGAGAAAAAUAAUAAAAUAUUAAUUUAUAAAUACUAUAAUAAGUAAAGUUUAUUGAACAAAAAAAUUAUACCUAUAGUUGUCACUGUGAAGGAAUUUGAAUUAAAGUAAAUAAAAGUUUUAAAAAGUAAGAUCUUUUUCUGUACCUUUUGUAUUAUGGAGAGCUAAAAUUCUAAAGUAUUUUCUUUGUUAACGAAAUAAUACGAGUUACUUAUUGCUUUAUAAUUGAUAAAUGCCCUAACUGUAGAAAAAGUAAGGUUAGAGAAAUAAGCGGGAGUGAAAUGCUAAUCGUGUAUUAUAUAGCUUUUUCCCGGAGAAGUUAGUGUAAGCUAAAAUAAAAAUAAGUUUUUGGAUAGUAUAUUGGCUGACCAAUAUAUUACUAGAGGAAAUAACCUUUUAAUUAAGGAAGGGCAAUAACAGCAUUAGGAAAAUUUAAGAAGUAGGAUUCAAGCAUUCUUCUAUAAAGAAAGCGUUUGAGCCCCUUAAUAGAUUCCUACAAAAGAAAUUAUUGAAAAAAUACCCGCUCUUGUUAAUAAUUAUCCGGGCGAUAAAAUUAUUUAUUCGAUAAUGGCUCUAUGAGUAAAAUAAUGUUUAUUUUAAGAUAUAAAAAAGGCUAUAAAAUAAAAUUUUUAGCCUAAAAAAAAUAUUCUUAUUUUAGAAAACAAAAAUCUAAAAAUAUAAAGAAAGGAACUCGGCAAAAGCUUUUCUCGCCUGUUUACCUAAAACAUCGCCCCUGGCUCUUAGAUCAAGGGUCCUGCCGCCCGGUGAUCUUGCGAGAUUAAACGGCUGCGGUACUCUGACCGUGCAAAGGUAGCAUAAUCAUUUGCCUGUUAAUUCCAGGCUGGAAUCAACGGCUAGACGAAGAAAAUACUGUCUCUCUUUAUAAGAUUUGAAUUUAGUUUUCUGGUGAAGAAACCAGAAUAAAGAAGUGGGACGAGAAGACCCUAUUGAGCUUUAAUCUAAAAAUAUUAACCAAAAUAGAAAAAGGUUUUAGUUGGGGCAACUGAUUUUUUAAUAAGACAAAAUCUUAAUAAAUGAAUUAAAUCUAAAUAUAGACCCACAAUCUUUUGUGGUAACAAGAAAAAGUUACCAUAGGGAUAACAGCGUAAUUUUCUUUGAGAGUACAUAUUGACAAGAAAGUUUGCGACCUCGAUGUUGGAUCAAGAUAUCCUGAAGGUGCAGCCGCUUUCAAGGGUGGGUUUGUUCAACCCCUAAAAUCUUACGCGAUCUGAGUUCAGUCCGUCGUGAGACAGGACAGUUUCUAUCUACUAUACUUUUCUUUUUGUACGAAAGGACUCUUGAGAAAUAAGAAUGAAUUAAAGUUCCCUUAUAAAUGAAAUAUUAGAAUUAAUAAAAUAAG